rnacentral:tRNA from 1 species
GUAGAUUUAAUUUAAUUAAAAUAUUAGACUGUGACUCUAAAAAUAGAGGUUAAAACCCCCUAAUCCACC